rnacentral:tRNA from 2 species
GGACCAUUAGAUCAGUGGUAGAUCGACCGCCUCAUAAGCGGUAUGUCACAUGUUCGAUUCAUGUAUGGUCCA